AACACUGAGAGAUGUUAACUGACAGGUGGAUGGAUGGUGGUCAUCUCCCUGCUGCGAUGCUGUGCUGUCAUUGUGUCAGACGUGGCCAUCGGUAGAUGCCAUGUCUGCCUCCUGGCUGUGAUGUAUUGUAUGAUUACAAAUCAACAUCAAGGGAGAGGAAAAGAGAGGGAGAGAGAGAGAGAAUAAUCAAUGAGGAGAGAGAAUCAUUGAUGGGCUGCCUCACGUUGACCCUCUACGGGGGAUCGAGCUUUCAACCCAGGCAUGUGCCCUUAACUGGAAUCAAACCCAGGGCCCUUCAGUCCACAGGUUCACUUCCCAGACACUGAAAGAGCAGAAUGGCUAAAUAAGACUGUAAAACAUAUGUGGCCUUUCAUUUGCCAAUUUAUAGAGAAGUUGUUUCGAGAAACCAUAGAGCCAGCUGUGCGGGGAGCAAACACCCACCUUAGCACCUUUAGUUUCACGAGAGUCGACGUGGGUCAGCAGCCCCUCAGGAUCAAUGGUGUCAAGGUAUACACUGAAAAUGUGGACAAAAGACAAAUUAUUUUGGACCUUCAGAUUAGUUUUGUAGGAAAUUGUGAGAUUGAUUUGGAGAUCAAGCGAUAUUUUUGUAGAGCUGGUGUGCAAAGUAUACAGAUUCAUGGCACAAUGCGAGUGAUCCUGGAACCGCUGAUUGGAGACAUGCCCUUAGUGGGAGCCUUGUCUAUCUUCUUCCUGAGGAAGCCACUUUUAGAAAUCAACUGGACAGGACUGACUAACCUUCUGGAUAUCCCGGGACUGAAGUAAGUAUGAUGCCAUGUGCUGUGUCAGCUUGCUGAUGGCGAGACAUGCCUCUGGGCUCAAAUGCGCUGAUGCAGAGGGUCGUAGGACUUCAGACUACAUCACUCACCCUUCCGUUCACCUUUUGUUCAUCACAAAGCUGCCUUUCAGUAUAAGUGUUUCAGAGUAGUGGCAGCCUUCUAAUAUCCCACAAAUUAAUGUUUAAAUUUGGUUUUUCUUUUCCCAGAAAAAUAAAGACAACUUAAAAAGCGAA